rnacentral:SRP_RNA from 1 species
GCUGGGCAUGGUGGCACGUGCCUGUAGUCCCAGCUACUCGGGAGGCUGAGGCUGGAGGAUCGCUUGAGUCCAGGAGUCCUGGGAGGUAGUGUGCUAUGCCGAUUAGGUGUCCACACUAAGUUUGGCAUCAAUAUGGUGACCUCCCGGGAGCAGAGGACCACCAGGUUGCCUAAGGAGGGGUAAAUCGGCCCAGGUCAGAAAUUGAGCAGUUCAAAACUCCCAUGGUGAUCAGUAAUGGAAUCAUACCUGUGAAUGGUCACUGCACUCCAGACCCCAUCUCUACCCCCA